UGGGCAUGGGCGAAGGGGCGAGGAGAAUAAGAAUGGAAGAGGAAGAGAAACAGACCUCCAUACUGCUACCAUGGUGCCACCUUGGCACAGGCACAAUGCGGCGAAACGAACAGCAGAGCGGGCAGAGAAAAGGAAGCUAUCCGAUGACAGCAGAGCAUAGAAGUGAGGAAGAUGCCAGCAGACACAGGAUGACUCAGAUGUAGAUGGAUGAAGGGAAGCAUAGAAGUAUGUUGAGGAGAGAAAUGGAUGGUACUAUGAAACUCCAUUGCGUGCCAGCCAGCGGGCACCAUGCCAGCCUGCAGUCGUGGCACACCCGAAGCGAUCAAAAACUGUCUUAGUCAAAGACAAGGGGACUCACCUCCUGAGGAUUUGCUGCUAAUCGCCGUUUGUUUGCUUGGACAAACCCAAGAAGAGGUGCCCAGGCAACGGUUGCCAGCAAUUCUGUGAUGGCAUCUUUUCAGGGGCGGCAAGGGCACGGGGAGAAAGAUGGCAUGUGCCAAGCCAACAUAACACACAUUUGCAAACAGAAACCUCCAUACGGUAAGCAGAACAUUUCGGAUGCCUUAAAUGUUUUGGCGAUGGCAUCCCCUCAAGGGAGAGACCAGAAACAGAGAUGGCACCAUGCCAAACGCAAACAGGGAGGCAUUCACGGGUGCCAGCAGAAGCUGUAGAAAAGCGUAGUAAAUGCGGACACAAAAUAGUAGCAGAAGGUCUGAACCAAAGCCAAAUGCAAGUAUGGUAGGAGUAUGGACUAAUACCAUUUCCUCAAUGCCACCCCUGCUCAGUGCCAACUGCUGCACUGAAAGGAAGCUGCUGCCCAUUACAAAGAGCUACAAGGGAUCAUACCAUUCCAUUAUGAAGAGGAAGAGUCUGUGUAAGAAGAGGAAUAAUGAGCAAAAUGAAUAAAGUAUAUAGAAGAAGAAAAAAUUGGGAAUUUUGUGCUUUACGAAGAACAUGAGGAGUGGGUGGACAAGGAUGAUGAAGAGCCUCUUUCCUGCACAUGCACACCUGGGACAUUCUUAAAGGGAUAUCCCCUCAGACUGCUGUGUGUGUUAAAGGGAGGGAUGUGUUGGCAUCAACUCCAGGGUGUCAAGCUGUGUUUCUCUAUUGCCAGUCAGGGAGGGGGCUGCAGUCGUCAAGGGCGGGCAACUGUCUGGGCAUCUCAUCUGCAGCUAAUUAACAGCCACACACUAAUUCUAACAGCCGAUCAUAAUUAGCGAUUUAAUCGCUCGUCAACGUUUUACUCCCCCCUUAAAUUGUGCCUCCUAUUUGGACACGUGCGGAUAAGCUAAGGAACGCUGGAUCCCCCCUCCCCUCCUCCUCUUCGUCCUUCUUUCCUUCAUCCUUGGCUCCAGACUCCAGUGGGAUCUUAAUUAAGCCUGGGCUUCAUUAUGCAAAUGGAGUACAAUAAACGACAGCAGAGGUGGAGCUGGAUCCAGACUGAAACGGAACAGUGGGAGGGGAGCACUGGAAGUGGAAAAUGAAGAGAUGUGGAAGGUUACCAAAAUCGUCUAUAUGAUGUUACUGCGUUCCAAUAAUUAUAUAUUGUUGUAACAUGUAUGUCUUCGGUGUACCACUACCACAUGUGGUGUGAGAACCAACAUUUCUCGCUCUGAUGCUCCAUUGCUGUUGCUGUUGUCCUUUGGAAAAACUCUGAAAUAGCACUGGAUAUGCAGAAUGUCAUCUCUCACAAAGCAAAUUCAUAAGGGAAUGGUGACAAUGAACCCCCUUUAAUAUCACCAGUUGGCCGUUGUCGUGGAUACGAAGAAAGAUGGUAGAGAUAGGAAAAGAGGAAGGAGGUAGACAGAAACAGUGACAGUGGCUACAGCAUGGCAGCUAAUGUCAUCUCAGUUUAAUCAUCGCUUGGGAUCAUGGGGUUCAUGAAAAUUCAUUUGCAUAUCAUUAAAUGGAGAGAGGUUAUUUGGUGCAGGCAGCCAAAAUGGGAUUGGAUGAAGCAAGAAAAAAAAAGGCAAAUGGAGGGACUCGUUAUUAAACAGCAAUGUUUUAUAGUCCGCCAGCCGAUUCAUUUAAUUUGGGCGUAAUUAAAAUGUGUCAGACUCAAUCAAUCAUUCCAACUGGGAUACUAUCAAUGUUUCAGUCUGAAAAAGGACUAAUCAGUAGAUGUGCGGUCGGACAUUUUCCAAUAACAGUUUAAGUGCUUUAGUCUACUGUGAGCUUGACCCAUCCACUCUUUUUUUCUAAUUUAUCUGAAGGAGUUCAUCAAAACAUCCAUUGUGACUUCUCUGUAUUGUGUCAAGACAUGUCUAUCUCUGACAGGUGGUAGUGCCACCCCGUGUUAGUCAAUAAGAGGAUAGCUCACACUAGUCAUGUUUCCAUCUAAUUUUCAAGCGAAUUUUAAGCGAACUUUUAAAAUAACGCAAAAACAAAGAAAAUGUGAAUUAGAAGCGUUUCCAUCAACUGGUUUAGAGCAAAUAAAUUAGACUACGCAAAGGGUAGUUUCGUCACAAGUUGACGUCACGCAUUGUUGUAGAUUUCACAUGUCUUGCUAAAUCAAAGAGUUUAGAAGCUAAAUUCUUAAAUGGAGAGAGGUAGCAUUGUACAAGUUGGCAACCUGUGCAGAAUACAGGUUUGUGGCAGAGACAUUUGGUGUCAGCGAGACAACCAUUCACCACUGUGUAUACGCAGUGUGCAGUGCCAUACGAUUCAAGCUGUUGAACCAAUUCGUCAAUUUACCCGACGUGGCUGAGACACAGGCUAUAGCGCACCGCAACUCCACUACGCACCUUGUGCCACAAGUGUACGGCACACUGGAUGGGACCCGUAUCCCGAUCCUUCCCCCAUCCGAUGGAUACUGGGACUAUAGUCAUGUGAGUUACAUGUUCGCUACGUCACAACUUAUUCGGUAAAGCUGUUUCCAUCUCCCAUUUUGCGCUCUUUUUCAAAAAAAAAGAAGGCAAAAACCAGCUCAAGCGAGCGGAAAAAGUUUUUUGCGAAUUUGAGGACGUUUUUUCGAAUUUUGCCAUUUCCAUCAACAUUUUCUAAAGCAAUACUUCAAAAUGCGCAUACAAAUACGUUGAUGGAUACAUGACUACUGUCUUUUUGACCUUAGUAGUAAGCUGUCAGUGGUGUGUACAUGUAUGUGCAUGCAUAUGUGCUUUUCUCAUUUGCAUAAGUGAUGUAAUUAGACCCGCCCUUUCACAUGCAGAUCAGUUUGACAACAUGGCAAUCACUCCAACACACAUUUACAGCCAUACACACAUACACACACAAACACACGCGACUGCACACGCUUACGGCCGUGACCACCCCCAUAUCAUGGGGAGUCUGUUGUCUGUGAGCAGAGAGUGUAAAGAUUAACAUAAUCCAGCUAAUAAGUGUGAGUAAUAUUCACACAGUGACGCGUGGCGUAGACACUGUCCUGCUGAUGCGUAUUUGUAUCUCAUUAUAGAUGUAAAGCACUAAAGGGGGUCCGACAGGGAGGGUGCCAGUGUGGAUGGGGGAUGGUGAGGGGUCCCCAAAAAAGUGUAGGCCUUAAUGUAGAUACACCCAAGAAUGACAAAAAAACAGCAGUAUUUUUUAUAAGCUAUAUCAUCCACCCUUUCUACAGAGGUCUAGUGAUCUAAAGACAGAAUACACAGGGUACCUCAACUAGGAUGCAGGCGAUCGGUAUAGGAAGUCUUUCUAUUGUUUCCACAAAAUCAGAAAGACAAUUUCACUCAUUUUUCUGCUUGUUUACAGUAAAAAGAAGGCACAGAGUGUCAGUUUUUGCAGCAAAAUGUAGGAAUUAUAAAUAGAGUGUAUUUGCGCUUGCAGGCUAGCUCUGCAACAUGAUUGAUUAGGAUGGUGUGACGACCAUUAAAAAGUCAUUUAAAAGAUGGAUAGGGACCACAUUUCCAAAUAAAAACCACUUUAUACCUGAUGAAGUGCUGAACAAACUCCUUCAAAGACAUUUACUGAUUACUCUCAGUGUGUGAGUGAGUGUAAUGUGGGAAGCACCCAUGUUCUGUGUGUAGCUCUGCAUCAACUGUAGAAGAUACCAAAGCAAUCUUCAGGACACAGUUGAGCAGUGGGUGGUGGUGUCCACAUUUUUAAAACUAAAAUUAGAUCUCAAAUUUUUAGAUUAAAAGAAGCAGCGUGAUGCUUAUUUGGGAACAGAUAUAAUCUAUCUGCAUAUGCACAAUGUCACAAACAGGCCUACCACACACACACACACACACACACACACACACUGAUUGAAAUGUAUCUGAUAGCACAGAGUUGCUUUGACUAAAGCCUUAUCCAAAGAGGCAGAGCUGUGUCUAAAUGUGCGAAUGUAUUUCAGCUCUGUCUCUUUAACUCAGGGCUCCACCAUAGCAGCAUGCUUUUGGAUUCAUGCAUAAACAUGAGCUGGCCUUUCAGCUCUCUCCUCACAUAACCAAUCUAAAUCUAAAUGAGCCCCCACUACAGAUACACCAGCAGGCAAUGACAUUACACCCCCCAGCCACAGCCCAACCCCCUACUCUACCCUACUACCCCCAGCGACACAUAUACACCAGCAGGCAAUAAUUUCACGCCAUCUCUCAAAGCCCCCCCCCUCCACCUCCUCUGCACACUCGUACCCCCUUUUGCCGCAACCCCACCAGCUGCACAGUACUCAUUUGAUUAAGAGGGGGAGGACAGGGAGAAGGAGAAAUGGUGGGGGAUCACUUUAUCGGGAUGACUUUCUAAGAUGACUAUCAUCAGCUACGAAGCUAUCUAAAGCCCUCUUCUGUGUUUACUUUCUAUUGUUCUCCCAAUGUAGCUGUUUGUCUGUUCCCUGCCUGCAACCCCAAUCAGAACUGUUUCACAGAUAUAUUGCCUCAGUUGUCGCAUUCAUGUGUAAUGGUUAAAUUAAUGGCUUGCUGCUACAGAACAAGGAACAGGUACCAGUCUGUGCUGGAAACUCAUGGUCACACUGGACAACACAUUCUUGCAUUGUAGUUUUUUCUCUGGCAAGUUGUCUCAUCAACCACUGGAAUGUUUUACACAUAAAAAGUAAAUUCAAUAAAAUAAAAUCUGUUCUACAAA